rnacentral:rRNA from 1 species
GACGUAGGGCGCGAGCGUUGUCCGGAUUGAUUGGGCGUAAAGAGCUCGUAGGCGGCUCGUUGCGUCGGCUGUGAAAACCCGCAGCUCAACUGUGGGCCUGCAGCCGAUACGGGCGGGCUGGAGUUCGGUAGGGGAGACUGGAAUUCCUGGUGUAGCGGUGAAAUGCGUAGAUAUCUGGAGGAACACCGGUGGCGAAGGCGGCAUCCUGGACCGGUAUUGACGCUGAGGCGCGAAAGCCAGGGGAGCAAACGGG